UGACAAACUUUUGUGAGUAUAUGAUCCU
rnacentral:piRNA from 1 species